rnacentral:lncRNA from 1 species
GGUGUUGAGAGAGGGGGGGAGGGGAGGGAAGGGAGGAGAGAGAGAGAGAGAGAGAGAGAGAGAGAGAGAGAGAGAGAGAGAGAGAGAGAGAGAGAGAGAGAGAGAGAGAGAGAGAGAUUAGAGAAAAAACUUUUCCGAACUUCGGAUUCCGCCUUCAGUUGCAGACUUCAGAGUCACCGUGAUCAGUCCAAAGGAAAUCCAGCCAUUGCAAAGCAGGAGCAAAAACAACUCCCUUCUCCUCAGACUCAACGAGAGAUACACCCCCCAACACUGAAGAAUCUUGGGUUUGGAAACAGCUUCACCAUCAUUAUGAGAAGACGCAAAGAGAGGGUUGAAAUACAGAUUCAUGGACGUUAGUGGAGAAAGGAAAGAACAGCCUUGUCUUCCUGCCCUAGAGAUAGGUCAUUAGCAAUUCUACCUUUUAUCUGCUCCUGUGGGAAACCAUGAUCUCAACAGCAUAGGAACACAACAUGAAAAACUCCCCCCACACAAAGGAAAU